rnacentral:tRNA from 1 species
GGGGCUGUAGCUCAGUUGGUUAGAGCGCUUCCCUGUCACGGAAGAGGUCGCGGGUUCGAGACCCGUCGGUCCCGCCA